GUUUACAGAACUCAUCAACAACAGUUCGGAUCCAGACUCAGACAGUUAAUCUUAGAACCUUCACACUCCAUCACUCCAAGUCCCAUCUUUUUUUCACUUCACAACUUAAGAAACAAAAGCCCAGAGGACAGGUCUUUGGUUAAGAGUUGCCAAGGAUUUUGAGUAGUGUGGUUCGUUACUUUCAGGCUUUAGGAAGUUGGUACAUCUUGGGAUAGCUUGGGAUUUCCAAUCAGUAAAUAGAAGUAAAUAGAAGUAAAUGGCAGCUGUGAAUAUAUCCCUCUAUUCUAUAUUUUUUGUGUUUUGCCCCCUGAUGACACAAUGAACCAACUUCAGUAACUAUCUCACACACACUCACAUACAUACACCCAGACACAUACACACUCAUACCCCCACGCUCACACAUACUGCCACACACAGAUGCACAUGCACACGUGAGUUUCCUUCUGCAAAGUCUUUACUCAUGAAGUUUUAUUGUCUAGAAUACCCUUCCUCGAGUCCUAUUCUACUCCUCUCUCUCACCUCACUCUGAUUACUCACACACAUCCUACCAGAACCAACUAAGGAGUAUCCUCUUUGGGAAGCUUCCAUUUGUCCAGCAACCCCUCUGCCUCCAGCCCCAGGCUGGGGUAGAGGAACCUCCACUGUGCCUCCACAAGAAUGCUCAGGCAUUGUUAUUGGAUCAAUCAGGCUGCCGUGAUGAGUCUUCUCUUGGUCAGCUUCUUCAGGGCAGAGAGUUAAGUACUGAAUUAUCCAUCCUGGGGUGUAUGCUUGACACACAGCGGCCUUUUAUAAAACAUGUGUUUGAGGGUAAUGGGUGAAAGCGGUGAUGGAGAGUAAGGAGUGCACUAGUCGUGAUGAGCCCACGAGUGCACGGAACUGUUGAAGCACCAUAUUGUACAACUGAAAUUAGUAUAACAUUGUAUAUCAACUACACUGGAAUUUAAAAUGAGAAAAAGCAUGUGUUGAAUGAACAAAUGAGAUGAGUGCAUAAAUGAAUGAAUGAAAACGAAACAUGGGACGAGGCUGGAGAAGAACUUUUGUCACUAAGCCACCUCAUGCCAUCUAGAUUUUAUGAUAUGGGUCGGAAGUGCUUAGUCAUAUAUUUUGAGGGCAUUUUUUUCAGUCUGUUCAGCCAAGAGACUUCCUAAAUGGGGAGUGGUAGAGGGCUUGAAGCAGGUGUGGAGGAGCAGUGGCUGUCAUGAGAGAAACUGCCUGGUCAGUUUCUGGAAAUAUUCCCCUUCUGGUGACAGCAUCCUGAGUCAGGUGAGAAGGCCGCUUAACCCAAGAUGCCAGGUUUCAUGCAACCCACGGCCACCUGGAGAGCUACUCAGCGGUUUUAUGUGUUUUAUGGGGAAAAAAUUCAUCUGCAUGUGUAUUAAAAGUGAUCAAACAAGAGAAAAAAAUAUAUAAUGGUGUUUGAAGCUGUGAAGUAGAAUGUUCUGAACUGUGGGAAGAAAGCUCAUAUAACCUUCAAGCCAGCCUCCUCUCUACUGGUUGGCAAAACGUUAAAGACAUUUUUUUCUUUUCCAAGGACUUUUACAAGUGGAUUGGUGUUUGACUAAAUCAGACUGUGGACUGUGCUGCCAGUUUUCACUGCCUACUCACUGUGGGGGCUGUGGAGUGAUUCGAACAAAAAAGACUGUCUACUAAAAAGUAGCAGCACUGCUGAAGCUCCCUACUUUUGAUGCCUAAUCUGUACAGCUCUGAGAAGCAGCACUGCUCCAUUCCCCUGGAGAGGCCUGGAUCAAGAAAGAAGUGAAAUCUAAACAGUUCAAUGACAAUUCGUGGUAUUAUUUAGCCCUUGCUGACAUCUAAUAGAAUUAGGUAUAGCAUUUAUCAGGUCAAUUUCUUUUCCUUGGACUGACAGAUGGGCAAACUAAAACUUGAAAAUAGAGAAUAAAUGAUACUGGCAGAUGAAAUCUGGCAAGUAACUGAAGUUCUGUAUGAACUAUGUCACCUCUUACUUAGGUCAGGCAAGGUGAAAUUGGAGAUUAUAUCCUUGGUGUCCCUUCUUCAAUU